GACGAACGCUGGCGGCGUGGAUUAGGCAUGCAAGUCGAACGGUAUCAUCCUUUCGGGGGUGAGAGAGUGGCGAACUGGUGAGUAACACGUAGGUUAUCUACCCUCAAGACGGGGACAACCCAGGGAAACUUGGGCGUAAUACCGGAUGUGAGCAACUUUUAGUUGUUUGAAAGGUGGCGUAAGCUGUCGCUUGGGGAUGAGCCUGCGUCCUAUUAGUUAGUUGGUGAGGUAACGGCUCACCUAGGCAAUGAUAGGUAGGCGGCCUUAACGGGUGGUCGCCCACACUGGGAUUGAGAUACGGCCCAGACUCCUACGGGAGGCAGCAGUCGAGAAUAGUCUACAAUGGUCGGAAGACUGAUAGUGCGACGCCGCGUGAACGAUGAAUCCCUUCGGGGUGUAAAGUUCUUUUAUAUGUGAGCAGUGCUUCUUAUAUUAACAGUAUGGGGAGAGAGAUAUUAGCAUAUGAAUAAGCAACGGCUAACUCCGUGCCAGCAGCCGCGGUAAACUCG
rnacentral:rRNA from 1 species